rnacentral:rRNA from 1 species
GGAUAACCUACCCUUAGGACUGGGAUAACCCUGGGAAACUGGGGAUAAUACUGGAUAGGCAAUUUUUCCUGUAAUGGUUUUUUGUUUAAAUGUUUUUUCGCCUAAGGAUGGGUCUGCGGCCGAUUAGGUAGUUGGUUAGGUAAUGGCUUACCAAGCCGUUGAUCGGUACGGGUUGUGAGAGCAAGAGCCCGGAGAUGGAACCUGAGACAAGGUUCCAGGCCCUACGGGGUGCAGCAGGCGCGAAACCUCCGCAAUGUGAGAAAUCGCGACGGGGGGAUCCCAAGUGCCAUUCUUAACGGGAUGGCUUUUCAUUAGUGUAAAGAGCUUUUGGAAUAAGAGCUGGGCAAGACCGGUGCCAGCCGCCGCGGUAACACCGGCAGCUCUAGUGGUAGCAAUUUUUAUUGGGCCUAAAGCGUCCGUAGCCGGUUUAAUAAGUCUCUGGUGAAAUCCUGCAGCUUAACUGUGGGAAUUGCUGGAGAUACUAUUAGACUUGAGACCGGGAGAGGUUAGAGGUACUCCCAGGGUAGAGGUGAAAUUCUGUAAUCCUGGGAGGACCGCCUGUUGCGAAGGCGUCUAGCUGGAACGGUUCUGACGGUGAGGGACGAAAGUUAGGGGCGCGAACCGGAUUAGAUACCCGGGUAGUCCUAACUGUAAACGAUGCGGACUUGGUGUUGGGGUGGCUUUGAGCUGCUUCAGUGC